rnacentral:rRNA from 1 species
AAUAUUGGUCAAUGGGGGCAACCCUGAACCAGCCAAGUCGCGUGAAGGAUGAAGGUCUUAUGGAUUGUAAACUUCUUUUAUACGGGAAUAACUUGCGGGACGUGUCCCGCAUUGCAUGUACCGUAUGAAUAAGGAUCGGCUAACUCCGUGCCAGCAGCCGCGGUAAUACGGAGGAUCCGAGCGUUAUCCGGAUUUAUUGGGUUUAAAGGGUGCGCAGGCGGGAUGUUAAGUCGGCGGUGAAAUUUUGCAGCUCAACUGUAAAAGUGCCUUCGAUACUGGCUUCCUUGAGUGUGGAUGAAGUAGGCGGAAUUUGUGGUGUAGCGGUGAAAUGCUUAGAUAUCACGAGGAACUCCGAUUGCGCAGGCAGCUUACUAAACCACUACUGACGCUCAUGCACGAAGGCGUGGGGAUCAAACAGG